rnacentral:rRNA from 1 species
UACGUAGGUGGCAAGCGUUGUCCGGAUUUAUUGGGCGUAAAGCGAGCGCAGGCGGUUUCUUAAGUCUGAUGUGAAAGCCCCCGGCUCAACCGGGGAGGGUCAUUGGAAACUGGGAGACUUGAGUGCAGAAGAGGAAAGUGGAAUUCCAUGUGUAGCGGUGAAAUGCGUAGAUAUAUGGAGGAACACCAGUGGCGAAGGCGACUUUCUGGUCUGUAACUGACACUGAGGCUCGAAAGCGUGGGGAGCAAACAGG